GCGGGGCUCGAUCCCGGGACUCCAGGAUCAUGACCUGAGCCGAGGGCAGUCGCUCAACCGACUGAGCCACCCAGUAGUUCUCAGUGUGGGCGAGGAACACCUGGAGUUUCCUGAGCCCCUUCCUCUGAGUUGCUUCUGGUGGUUUCCUGGCACUCUUUGGCAUCCCUUGGCCUGUAGAUCUCAGCCUUCAUCUUCACGUGACUUCUCCCUGUGUGCAUGUCUAUUUCCAAUUUUCCUUCCCCUGCUUGUGCUCUCUUUCUGUCAAAUAAAUAAAAUCUUAAAAGAAAAAAAAAAAGAAUCCCAGCUGAGCUCACAGUUGGCAGCCAGCAUCAACUGCCAGUUUGUCAGUGCAUCAUCUUGUUCUGAGCCUUCAAAUGAAUCCAGCUCCCGUUGUAUCUACCUGAAACUGCACUAGAGACCGUGAGUGAAACCACCCAGUUGAUUCCAACCAACUUAUGGAAUGGGUACUCUGGCUUUUAAGCUAAGCCUGGAGCAGUACAAAUGGGAUUCACGUCUACAAAAGGGAAUCAUGGCAAGGAACCUCAGGUCUGAGGUGCAGAGGUGUGAUUCUGAAAACCAGUCUCAAGUAGGAAUUAUAUGAACCAUGUGCUUUACCCACUUGAGCAGCUAGAGGUGCAGUCUAAACAGUUUAAUGGAACAGGUAUUGUGAAUACUGCUAAAUAUAUUCAUGUUUGAAGAGGUAUGAAAGCUUGCACAAAAAGGAUUAACACAGCAGGCCCAAGGCUUCAACUGUUACAAGGUCCUGUUUGCAAGGUUGGCCCUUGGCUGGCACCUGGCAACCUGGCUUUUAUUUAUUUUUUUAAAGAUUUUAUUUAUUUAUUUGACAGAGAGAGACACAGCGAGAGAGGGAACACAAGCAGGGGGAGUUGGAGAGGGAGAAGCACGGGGAAGCCCGAUGCAUGGCUCGAUCCCAGGACCCUGGGAUCAUGACCUGAGCCGAAGGCAGAUGCUUAAUGACUGAGCCACCCAGGCACCCCUGGCAACUUGGCAUUUAGAGUGUUGUCUGUACCCCAACUGAAUAAAGAUGUCUCCCUGUACCUAGACUAUGCGAACAAUGUGAUUUGCACUGAGCACCUGCUUUUCUCCAGGAGUCUGGAAUUUGCUACAUGCUAGACAGAAGUGCCUACUUGCCUGAUCCUCAGUGGGCUUUGUAUGACCCUCUCAGGGGAGGGACAGCAUUGGAAACCUGCACAUAGAUUCCCCCACCCUUCACCUGUCUUUCCCCUUACGGUCCAACUGUGUAUCCUUGCUGCAUCACUCUAAUAAAUCUUAGCUGUGAGUACAAUGAUAUGCUGAGUCCUAUGAAUUCGUCUAGAAAUCUCUGGAUGUGGGGGUGGCCUUGUGGGCCCCCAACAAUUCCACUGCUUGUUCAAAAUUAUGCAUAGGAUUAUUUUGAUACCUGUAUUCUGAAAAGGGGGAGGAGGAUAGAUUUCUGUUUCUUCUUAAAAGGAGCCUCUGGGUCACAUGUAAUAGAUGUGGUAUCACUUAGAGUUUUUUUAAGAAAAAAAA